GCUCUGUUCGUCUACGAUGGCUAGGACACCAGCCUUUCACGCUGGUAAAAGGAGUUCGACACUCCUACAGAGCACCA
rnacentral:tRNA from 1 species